CAGUAGCCGCGGUAAAACGGAGGGUGCAAGCGUUAUCCGGAUUUAUUGGGUUUAAAGGGUCCGUAGGCGGACUUAUAAGUCAGUGGUGAAAGCCUGUCGCUUAACGAUAGAACUGCCAUUGAUACUGUAAGUCUUGAGUAUAUUUGAGGUAGCUGGAAUAAGUAGUGUAGCGGUGAAAUGCAUAGAUAUUACUUAGAACACCAAUUGCGAAGGCAGGUUACCAAGAUAUAACUGACGCUGAGGGACGAAAGCGUGGGUAGCGAACAGGAUUAGAUACCCCGGUAGUCCCUGUCUCUUAUAC
rnacentral:rRNA from 1 species